AAUUCGUAAGUAAUAUAAAUAUUUUUUAGAUCUUUUUUUUUACUUCUCUCAGUGCAAUGUUUUAUUUCCAUUACAUAUCUUCCCUUCGACUCGUUUAAUUAAAUAUUCAUACCGAUGCUUGAUGUUGUUGAUUUAUUUUAAAUUUAAUCGUUCUCGUUUAUUUCUUUUUAAAAAUUUAAUUAAAGUUAUAAAGCUAAAAGAUAGACACACUUAAAUGUUAGCAGUCAAGUUCAAAGAUUUUGGAGAACUUUGUUAUUAAAAUCAUCAGAAAAUUAUUGCAACAAAGCACUCGCAGAAUAUUUGAGUUGACUAUUUAAUAAUGCUAAUAUUAAAGUCAGGAAAUACUCCCAAGAAGAUAUGGAUGUCAUUACAUAUUAUUGCGGAUUGAGGACAUAUCCGUAAAAGAGCGAUAAGAAACUAGGCGCUUCCUCGGAACCGACUAAAUUAACGAUAUUAUAGAAAAAUGGACGAUCGAUCAUGAGGUCUUGAGUUUCCUGAAUUAUUUUGAAGACCAACUUCAUUCCUGGAACAUAUUAGGAUACAUGUAGCAUUUAUACACGAUAAAAAUAGAUUCUCAUUGACUUUCGUUUAUUGCAUAUGCAAAAAUAAAAUUAUAUAGAAUUAAAAAAAGUACGUAAUUGUUAAAUAUAAAAUAAUAAAACCCGAGACAAAAGACACAUGUUCCAGUGCAAAAUAAACUUUAGGAAAGAGAGAUCUUUAAAAAAUAUAGAAUUGUGUGCGAAAGAAGAUACAAAAAUUAUGAUGGAAUAAAAAUUCAUACAAAACAUACAAAAAAUUGCUUGGAAAUACAUGUCAAAGGAGGAUAUAUAUAGCGAGUUUAUUUGGAAUUAAACCUAAAGUAAAGUUAAAUCUUUUCCGAAUUGUUUUAUUACUUGAUCUUAAUUAUGCGCAAAGAGAUAUUAGCGAAUAUCAGAUAUUUGUUACAAUUAUGCAUAAAAUCAGCGAGUAAUGUUUUUGUUACUCUUACUACUUGCUAUUUGAAUAUCCUCUAUUCGCAAUGUGAAACGCGAGUGUGAGAAUUGAAAAAAAUGUUUUCCUUUUUGUUCAGUCUUUACAAAGAUGUCAAAUAAAUAGCGAUAAAAUUAUAUUUUUCUCACGCGAUACAUGAGAUUUUGUAAUUCGAUAUAAGAGAGAAUGUCCAUCACAUUUUUUUUAUUAAUAACUACAUCUCCAACUUUAUUUCUCACGUACAUAUAAUUACCUUAAAUAUUUGCAUAUUUUACAUUAUGUGUAACUUUACGUAUGGUUGUUUAGUUUAUAUUUGCUUUGUUAUUGAACAUUUUAUUUUUAAUUUUAAUUGUUAGUUCCUACAUUUCUAUAGGUUAUUAAGUAAUUAAUUGAGUUCAUUUGGAUGAUUCAGGCGUAAAAAUCCGUCCAGUGAAUAAAGUUAAUGGAUCAGUUUCAAUGCCACGCUGUGUUGCGAUAGCGUAUAAAAAUGGGCGAUUAACCGAAAACUCUUCGGAUCUUCGAGGCUUAGCAACGAUUCCGGAAAACAGUGUUAUGGUGCGACGACUUCCAGAUUCUUGGGUUUGAUCAACUUUCACGAUCGAGUAAUGGAACGGAUGAUCGAUAUAGAUUUCUUCCUCCCAUACCAAAGACAACGUUUCUAUGACUAUCCCUGAAAGAAAAGUGUCGCUGAUGGAGGCAGGAAUCCUUUUUGCGUUGUUAAACAUAGAUAUCAUCAACCAAAUCGUUCAUCACAAAUCAUUCUCGUGACUGACAAUUUUAUAUUAUCUUUUAUAAAGUAGUAAAAAGCAAAGAGAGAGACAAACAUCAUGUGUCGAAAUGGUAUGAACGAAGAUAAUGCAUUUUAGUCGAAAGCCUUUAGAUAUUUUACCCUUCGAUACAGAAAGAUUCGCUAUAACAUUCAAUUAACUGAUGGUGGGGAGAAAACGAAUGCGAUUAAAAACAAAUUUUAACUAUAUGCACAUACAUAUAUUCAAGAUUCUGGUUAUUAUACACAUGCAAAAUAUUGACGACAUGCAAUACACAUACCGCGUACUGUAUAUAUAAACCGCAUACGUAUUAUUUUUAUUUUAUACUACAUUAACGUUAAUCAUCAUAACGUUAAUGCAGCAAAAUAGAAAAUGCAACAUGUAUAUGUGGAGGGGUAAAAGCUGUAGUGGUGUAAGUCAAAUUUUUUAAACUAUUGACUUACAUCACUGUGGCUUUUACCCUUUCAUAUAUAGGUAUAUAUUGCAGUAUACAUUCGGACAAAGCAAAUAAGCGCGAACAAACGCGAACGAACAACUUCAAUGAGCGUGAAUGGCGAGUUCGCGAGUAGCAGCUACUAGUAUAUAAAUAUUUAAUACAUAUAUCGAUAUUAAAACUAAGAGUAAAAAGACGAGUGAAAAUAAACGAUCAUACACCGAUUACAUUAUGGAUUAUGAAUGAAUCCGUUAAACAAUGUGACUACGUCUGUGGAUUUUCCGUCUGUCUUGACGAUACGAUACACGAAUGGAUGAUCGAUCGAGAAUUUUUCCAGCGGCGUGAUCGAGAUUGCCGAGAUUUUGUCCACGACGAUCGCUGAAACACACGAUUGAUUAUGAUAUGCGACUCACUUCCCUCGUCCGCUCGUAUCGCAAAAUUGUGGAGCAGAAAUAUAACAUGCAAACGCAAUGCUACGUAAAUACAUCACCGCGCUACUGCAAGAGGAAAAUGUAAAGUCUGGACGCAGAGUAGCAAGUAAGAAAAUUAGAAAAGAAUAAAACAGAAACGUUACGACGCACAGAGAUAUCAGGGCAAAGAGACAAGAUGCAACAAAGGCUUAACACGUUCUCAGCUUUUUAUUGCAAACCUCGUGUCGACUAUCGGGAUCGUCGCCUUUUGGGAGAACUUCGAAGAUGCGUAAGAUGGAUAAUCAACUUUUCAGUCAGCUGCUAAAUAGCUUCUUUUGUAUAGAAUCAAUUAAUAUCUACUAAAUUUCAAGAGAGAACGCAAUAAAUUGGAAUUGUACAAAGAAACAAGGCCACAUAUAAGUAAUUCAAUUUUAUUAUAAACGUGUCACUUUACUCGCUGAUUCCUAAUCUAACAAAACGUUCUCAGCGAGAAAGAAAUUAGAAGAUGCGUUUAUAAAUCGGUAAUAUGCCCGGCACACACAAGCAAUUGCACCAUAUCGAUUUCGAUCGCGUUGCACUGUACUGAUGACAUUAUAGAAAAAUGAAUGGUCGAUUUAUAUUUCUUCUAAUAUUUAAAUUAGAUUUAUUGUUCGACUUGGCGAACGACUCGAUGUGAUAGCUCGUAAGGCGAUCAUGUUUUAUGUAUUUUGAUUGGAAACGUUUAUUCGUGAUUAAUAGAUAAGGAUUGAUUAAAAAAGU